ensembl:lncRNA
UCUCGGGGCCCUCAGGCCAGAGUGGGGCAGCAAAGCACCUAUGGAGCUGACUACAAGCCCCCCAGUGAUCGGCACCUCAGGCUGUUCAGGCUGCAUGCAGAGCCGUCUUGCACCACACACCAGAAGUUGGCGGAUAUGUGGGCUCAGUACUACAGACAGUGUUUCCAGACCAUUACCAACGGCCCACAGAACCCCGCCUUUGCCUUCCCUCAGGUGAGUCCCUCAGACACAAGAACUUACUUGUCUUUCCUGUCCCCCUUGACUGGCAUACCUUAGGGGCAUUUCAUGGUAGAUGCAUUGAUAUUAUCUUAUCUUAGUCAGACUCAAACCUCUCUCUCUCUCCACCUCUAUCCCCUCUCUCUCUCCACCUCUCUCACCCUCUCUCUCCACCUCUCACCCUCUCUGUCUCUCUUCUCUCUCCACCUCUCUCCCCUCUCUCUCUCUCUCUCUCCACUUCUCACCCUCUCUCUCUCCACCUCUCUCUCCAUCUCCCCUCUCUCUCAUCCUCUCUCUCACCCUCUCUGUCUCUCACCCUCUCUGUCUCUCUUCUCUCCCCUCUCUCUCAUCCUCUCUCUCUGUGUCUCUCCCCUCUCUCUCAUCCUCUCUCUCUCUCUGUGUCUCUCCCCUCUCUCUCUGUCUCUCACCCUCUCUGUCUCUCUUCUCUCCCCUCUCUCUCAUCCUCUCUCUCUCUGUGUCUCUUCUCUCCAUCUCCCCUCUCUCUCAUCCUCUCUCUGUGUCUCUCCUCUCCAUCUCCCCUCUCUCUCAUCCUCUCUCUCUGUCUCUCUUCUCUCCAUCUCCCCUCUCUCUCAUCCUCUCUCUCACCCUCUCUGUCUCUCACCCUCUCUGUCUCUCUUCUCUCCCCUCUCUCUCAUCCUCUCUCUGUCUCUCCCCUCUCUCUCAUCCUCUCUCUCUGUGUCUCUCCUCUCUCUCACCCUCUCUGUCUCUCUUCUCUCCCCUCUCUCUCAUCCUCUCUCUCUGUGUCUCUCCCCUCUCUCUCAUCCUCUCUCUCUGUCUCUCUUCUCUCCCCUCUCUCUCUGUGUCUCUCUACAGAAGGGGAGACCAGUGAGGGCAGCUACGUUGGACAGUGAGAGUUUCAGUAAGAUCCAAGUGGAAAGGACAGCUCCUCCAGAGAAGGGGCAGAGCCAGAUACCACCACAGCGUUCGAGCUCCGACUCUGGGGAACGAAGGUCGGUCUCUCCCUCUCUCUCCUUAACCUCAGUCCAUAACUCCCUCCCAUCCCGCCCUGCAAGGAAAGAGGCAUGGACACAUGCAACAGGGGACCCGGCACUGGGGGUCACAACGACACCCAAGGACAUGGUGGAGCUGCCUCACAUCGGCAGUGGAGAAGGAAGUGAUGGGGAGCUCCCGCUGCAGGUGGAGCGGUUAAGGGCGGAGCAGUUCCGUCGGGACAUGACCCACUCAUCUAGGCUGGAAGGCCAGAUCAACCAGCGCAUAGCCACCCAGUCUAACCUCAUGCACCUAGGGCUGCCAUUCAACGGUGUGACCACCUACAGCCAGAGUUACACACACUGGGACAACUCCUCCACACUGAGAGGCCCGCAGUGCAUCCUUCCUGAAGCCACACUCAACUGGAGGGCCUGGGUGUCAGAGUACCAGGACCGGUACCAGGGCCCGGAUCGCUACGUCCCUGGGCAGAGGAAGCCCCCUAGCGGCCUGAAGGAGCCCUGCACCGCCGAGUACCAGCCUGGUGCCCACACCGCAGACCAGACCCGAGGACACAUCUGCUCAGAGUAUCAGAGGCACUUCACUAAGAAGAGCUACCCUGGCCUGUCCAGACCCAAGACCAGCCCUGCGUACAGACAGAACAGAGACAACUGA